rnacentral:rRNA from 1 species
CAGUAGCCACGGUAAUACGUAGGGUGCAAGCGUUAAUCGGAAUUACUGGGCGUAAAGCGUGCGCAGGCGGUUUGUUAAGACAGAUGUGAAAUCCCCGGGCUCAACCUGGGAACUGCAUUUGUGACUGGCAGGCUAGAGUAUGGCAGAGGGGGGUGGAAUUCCGCGUGUAGCAGUGAAAUGCGUAGAUAUGCGGAGGAACACCGAUGGCGAAGGCAGCCCCCUGGGCCAAUACUGACGCUCAUGCACGAAAGCGUGGGGAGCAAACAGGAUUAGAUACCCCCGUAGUCCCUGUCUCUUAUAC